ensembl:lncRNA LOC102552565 uncharacterized LOC102552565
GUCUUCAGGCACUGGCAGCUCUCGUGUGGACGUUCACGCACUCUCUCUGCUAUGCUAAGGCUCUUUGCUCAUUCUCUUGGAUCAAUUUGAUGCUGUACAGAGUCUAUUUCUGGGAGCCAAUGACUUAGGAAUAUUGAAUUUUCCAAACUCAGUAACACGGCUUAACUGAUCCUCAGAAUAAACCACCGGACCACCAUCUAACUGAUGGAUCGGGCACCUCAGUCCUCAGCUGUAGCCUAUACAAGGUGUCCCUGCUGUGAGCUAGGAGCCCACAAAGAGUUCUGCCGGAGACGGGUGUUCAUCAGAAGGUGAAAUCACCUUUGCGUUUUGAUCCAUGGCUUCCAAAGAUAGAAGAGAUGAUUGGUUUUCCCCGAGAUUCAAAUGAUACCGGCAUCCCGAACGAUGCUCAGAGAAUGUCGCUUUAAACAACAAAAUGAAGGCGUCCAUUGAUGGAUCUCCCACCCUUGCUGCUCCUGGCAGCGUCGCGUCGCUUUGGCUUGUGAAGAGGGCCGUGCCAGGAUUUCCUGCUCCACACCUGCCUUUGGAGGGGGCUGCAUGUGAGGAUUCUGUCAGGCCACCGCAGGUGAGCUUGAUUUGGGGGUGAUAAGAACUGAUGGGCUCUCAUAGCUUGGGGUCCAGGAGUACUGGGGGGUGGGGGACACUUGGGAGUCAGUGUCGGCAAAAGUCGAUUGGCUCCUCCCUCUGAUGGAGAAGCUGAUCCUAAGCGGCUGCUCUUUCUCCAAGAACUUUCUAAUCAGAAUGGAUCUUGCUGUCGGGGGUAGCGGCAUCAGAAGUGAGCUACAGCCAGGGCGAUUUCCUGGACAUGCUGUCCCGGGGAGCUCGUGGCUCUCAGAUUGCUUUUUUGGGGGGAGGUCUAACAAGAAUCAAUAUUUAAGAUUAUGCAAUGUCCAUUGCAGCUUGCAGCAGCUGCCAACCUGAGGACGAGGGCUGGAUAAUUUACAAUGCAAGGAAUCCAUUCUUUUUGAGAGGGGGAAGGGAGAAAUCAAGAUUUAAGCUCCUUAUCCUGGGCUGAACUUUUCUCCUCCAUUCUUAAUGGCACUGGGCGUAAAUAAACCAUCCAUUUUGCUUUGUAGAACUGGCUGGUCUUUGCACAAACUCACUGGAAUCGACAGCCCAGGUUCAGAACCAAGACCACAGGUCUAGGCUGUAACCGAUUUGUAAACAAUACUAAUUUACAUUUUCCCACUGUCUGUUAGCCUUAUCAGGACCUGUCUUUCUAUUCUUCUGCCCCCAACAUCUGCAGAGAAAGUUUUUUUUUUUUUAUUGUCAGCUACUAAUGGUUCUUCUGUCCCAUAUUUUUAAUGUGAAGAUUAAAUAUUUAUAAAUGCCUUGUCAAUAGCAUCCC